rnacentral:tRNA from 1 species
GGAUUUUUUCGUGAGGUGACACAAAUCUCUUCAGGCCUUGGCCCUUCGAGCGGUUAAUUGAAGCUGAGGGCUCUGUCACUAGUUCGAGUCUAGUAGGAGCCACCA